rnacentral:rRNA from 1 species
UACGUAGGGGGCAAGCGUUGUCCGGAUUUACUGGGCGUAAAGAGCGCGCAGGCGGCCGUGCAAGUCGGAUGUGAAAGCCCCCGGCUCAACUGGGGAGGGUCAUUCGAUACUGUUCGACUCGAAGGCAGGAGAGGGAAGUGGAAUUCCGGGUGUAGUGGUGAAAUGCGUAGAUAUCCGGAGGAACACCAGUGGCGAAGGCGACUUUCUGGCCUGUUCUUGACGCUGAGGCGCGAAAGCUAGGGGAGCAAACGGG